AUACGAAGGGGGCUAGCGUUACUCGGAAUUAUUGGGCGUAAAGCGUGCGUAGGCUGCUUAGUAAGUCAAAAGUGAAAGCCUUGGGCUCAACCUAAGAAUUGCUUUUGAAACUACUAAGCUUGAGUACUGUAGGGGGUAGCGGAAUUCCUAGUGUAGGGGUGAAAUUCGUAGAUAUUAGGAGGAACACCGGAGGCGAAAGCGGUUAUCUGGACAGUCACUGACGCUGUUGCACGAAAGCGUGGGGAGCAAACAGGAUUAGAUACCCUGGUAGUCCACGCUGUAAACGAUGAGUGCUAAA
rnacentral:rRNA from 1 species